GACGAACGCUGGCGGCGUGCUUAACACAUGCAAGUCGAACGGAAAGGCCCUGCUUUUGUGGGGUGCUCGAGUGGCGAACGGGUGAGUAACACGUGAGUAACCUGCCCUUGACUUUGGGAUAACUUCAGGAAACUGGGGCUAAUACCGGAUAGGAGCUCCUGCUGCAUGGUGGGGGUUGGAAAGUUUCGGCGGUUGGGGAUGGACUCGCGGCUUUUCAGCUUGUGGGUGGGGUAGUGGCUUACCAAGGCUUUGACGGGUAGCCGGCCUGGGAGGGUGACCGGCCACAUUGGGACUGAGAUACGGCCCAGACUCCUACGGGAGGCAGCAGUGGGGAAUAUUGCACAAUGGGCGGAAGCCUGAUGCAGCAACGCCGCGUGCGGGAUGACGGCCUUCGGGUUGUAAACCGCUUUCGCCUGUGACGAAGCGUGAGUGACGGUAAUGGGUAAAGAAGCACCGGCUAACUACGUG
rnacentral:rRNA from 1 species